UACGAAGGGGGCUAGCGUUGCUCGGAAUCACUGGGCGUAAAGCGCACGUAGGCGGACUCUUAAGUCAGGGGUGAAAUCCUGGAGCUCAACUCCAGAACUGCCUUUGAUACUGGAGUGUCGUGAGUCCGGGAGAGGUGAGUGGAACUGCGAGUGUAGAGGUGAAAUUCGUAGAUAUUCGCAAGAACACCAGUGGCGAAGGCGGCUCACUGGCCCGGUACUGACGCUGAGGUGCGAAAGCGUGGGGAGCAAACAGGG
rnacentral:rRNA from 1 species